UACGUAGGGUGCAAGCGUUGUCCGGAAUUAUUGGGCGUAAAGAGCGUGUAGGCGGCCACUUAAGUCCUGCGUGAAAUCUUGCGGCUCAACCGCAAGCGGUCGUGGGAAACUGGGUGGCUAGAGUGCGGGAGAGGAGAGUGGAAUUCCUGGUGUAGCGGUGGAAUGCGCAGAUAUCAGGAAGAACACCCGUGGCGAAGGCGGCUCUCUGGAACGCAACUGACGCUGAGACGCGAAAGCGUGGGGAGCAAACAGG
rnacentral:rRNA from 1 species